rnacentral:rRNA from 1 species
CCAAUAGCGUAUAUUAAAGUUGUUGCAGUUAAAAAGCUCGUAGUUGAAUUUCGGGGUUAGUAGGUUGGUCAUGCCUCUGGUAUGUACCGGUCUCACUGAUUCCUCCUUCCUGAUGAGCCGUAAUGCCAUUAAUUUGGUGUUGCGGGGAAUUUGGACUGUUACUUUGAAAAAAUUAGAGUGUUUAAAGCAGGCUAACGCUUGAAUACAUUAGCAUGGAAUAAUGAAAUAGGACGUUCGAUCCUAUUUUGUUGGUUUCUAGGAUUGACGUAAUGAUUAAUAGGGAUAGUUGGGGGCAUUAGUAUUCAAUUGUCAGAGGUGAAAUUCUUGGAUUUAUUGAAGACUAACUACUGCGAAAGCAUUUGCCAAGGAUGUUUUCAUUAAUCAAGAACGAAAGUUAGGGGAUCGAAGACGAUCAGAUACCGUCGUAGUCUUAACCAUAAACUAUGCCGACUAGGGAUCGGAUGAUGUUAAUUUUUUAAUGACUCAUUCGGCGCCUUACG